CUGCAGCUCCCAGCAGCUGUCAGUCAAAUCCGUUCAGUCAACUUCAGCCACAUCCCAAAACUGCUGCUAACAAAGGGAGAGCUGGAGAGGAGAAUGGUGUCAUCAUCUGAGGGGAAACACAAAGCAGAAAGGAAUGAGGAGGGGAAAUUUCAGUGCUUAUUUUUAGACUCCGUGGACAGAUUCAGGGGCACUUCUGACGCCUUUGGAAGCCAGAAUUCCAUUGCAAAGCACUGGAAAGGAAGGGAAAUACGGAGGUGGAAGGAAGUACUUGAGGUACACAUGAAAUACUUUCAAGUGACUGAGACCAGUGCACAGAGCUCAGCUCAUGGCCCACCUCUGGACACCAGGAACAACCUCCUGCACAUCAGGAGCAGGUCUGGACACCAGGAACAACCUCCCUAGACACCAGGAGCAACCUCCUGGACACCCCAUUAUUGACAGAUGUCUGUGGGAACCAACUGUCAGCAAUAGUAGCUGAAGCUUUUUGAAAGCUUUUUCCCGCUUGCUUUUCCUAGAACUAAAAUAAAAUGAGAACAGGAUCUGUGGCCUGGUCUAUC
rnacentral:lncRNA from 1 species